rnacentral:lncRNA from 1 species
GUGCGUGCGCGCCGAGCGAGACGGGGUUUCUCCAUGUUGGUCAGGCUGGUCUCGAACUCGCUACCUCAGGUGAUCCGCCUGCCUGGGCCUCCCAAAGUGCUGGGAUUACAGGCCACCGCGCCCGGCCUCCAGGCUCCUGAAUCUUUUGUUUUCCUGUUUCGAUUUUUCUGGGUUAAUUUAUAACACGAUCUUGUCUCAGCUUUUCCACAGAGCCCUCCCCUUCACCCUUCCCUCAUUGUUCAGGAAAGCUUAGGCCACGUGACAGUGAGGGGAGUGCCCCCACAAUGAUUAUGUCAGCAGCUGCUUGGAGGCCUGUUCAUCUACUACCCACGUUUCCAGGGAGCCCUGCGAGGAACUACUCAUCACGGUCCUGGAUGGAGGGGGCUGUGUAACUGCAGCUCUCCUGAGCCCAGACUAACAUUUUAUUGCCUGCAAAUCGUGCCCCUGUUCUCUUUCUAGGACUACUCAUCUCUUUUAGAGAAUCAGAAUUCCCAGCCCCCUUUCUCCUGUUGACACUCUUUUCCCACCUCCCCAACCUAUCCUUGUUU